AACGAACGCUGGCGGCGUGCCUAACACAUGCAAGUCGGACGAACGUAGCAAUACGUUAGUGGCGCACGGGUGAGUAACACGUGGGAAUCUGCCCUUUAGUUCGGAAUAACACCGGGAAACUGGUGCUAACACCGGAUACGCCCUUCGGGGGAAAGUUUAUCGCUAAAGGAUGAGCCCGCGUUGGAUUAGCUAGUUGGUGGGGUAAUGGCCUACCAAGGCGACGAUCCAUAGCUGAUCUUAGAGGAUGAUCAGCCACACUGGGACUGAGACACGGCCCAGACUCCUACGGGAGGCAGCAGUGGGGAAUAUUGGACAAUGGGGGAAACCCUGAUCCAGCAACGCCGCGUGGAUGAUGAAGGUCUUCGGAUUGUAAAGUCCUUUUGGCGGGGACGAUGAUGACGGUACCCGCAGAAUAAGCUCCGGCUAACUUCGUG
rnacentral:rRNA from 1 species